rnacentral:rRNA from 1 species
CAGGUCUUGACAUCCCUUUGACCGGUCUAGAGAUAGACCUUUCCUUCGGGACAGAGGAGACAGGUGGUGCAUGGUUGUCGUCAGCUCGUGUCGUGAGAUGUUGGGUUAAGUCCCGCAACGAGCGCAACCCUUAUGCUUAGUUGCCAGCAGGUCAAGCUGGGCACUCUAAGCAGACUGCCGGUGACAAACCGGAGGAAGGUGGGGAUGACGUCAAAUCAUCAUGCCCCUUAUGACCUGGGCUACACACGUACUACAAUGGCCGGUACAACGGGAAGCGAAGCCGCGAGGUGGAGCCAAUCCUAGAAAAGCCGGUCUCAGUUCGGAUUGUAGGCUGCAACUCGCCUACA